CCCCGUUGAAAUCAUUAGCCAUUUAUUCGAAGAUGACUGUCUGUCGGUGAUGUUAUCUCUGCUCCAGUUGCUGUUACGUCCGCCAGAUUUAGGAUCUUGGACUUGUCCGCUCUUCUCAGGAGAUUGUUGGUCGUUUUCUCCGAUUCUAGGAUUCACCUGACGUCAGAAGAGCAUAUAAUUCAUGGGUAUCACUUUGAUGAAAAGCUGCACGUCCUAAUGAAUACCAUGGAGCUUUACGAUCAGGUGCCAUUGUGAAAGUUGGUGGUUUCGAAGUUGGACGUUGUACUAAUAUGUACAAGAUAACGGAUAGCCCUUUCGUCUUCCAAAUCCCAAAGUUUUUGGAGGUACGGUCACCUAUAUAUAUUUUACAUUGUGCAUAUACAGAUGGUCAAUCUUUUCUAUGCAAAUAUAUUACUAGCUACGUGUGAAACUCACUCACUAAUGCACACUCGGUCAUGUUAGGUAAUCUCUAUUUGAACUCCACCCCAGCGACCAAAUUUUAUUUGGACACCAACAUCCUUGCCAUCGAAGCUUUCACCAAUAGGUCAGUCUAAAGUGUUAUGCAAACGGAGCACCACCAUAUUAUUCUACUUUUUUAACCCACGCUUAGAUACCUAACUGCGUUUCAUUUGUACAUUGCUUCUGCUGUCUAUUGUCCAAUCAAUAUUAGCUAUUAUAUGGCAUGCUUGCUAAAAUAUAUCUUUGGACGCAUCUUGGGUGUUGCACCAACAAAGGCUUUCCCACGUACAUGUUUCAAUAGCAGGCCUCCACACGUACAUAGCCAAGUCAAACAACCAGGUUUCCAAAACUCUAUUUUCUAUCAUUUCUUGACUAUAAAAAUGAAACUUGUCUCAGCUACUUUUUCUCCAUUGACACCGUAAAGACCCAGAAAGCUAACUUCCUUUUUAAAGCUUGGAAGUGUGCUACAACAGAAUGGUGGGCCGUACGUUUCUUGCACCGGUUGCAGCAGGAAGUUGGACAAAUCAUGGAGUGCACUAUACCGCAACAAAUGUGUAUCACCCAAGAUCACCGGGGUUUUAAGGUAACAAAGAGUCUUACAUAUUCAUACCUAUAACCAUAUUCAAAGUUUAAAUAAGACUUGGACGUAAACGUAAACUCCUCAUGUAUCACUUUGAGUUGGCUGUUGACGAUGGCCAUGAAACGUAAUACGUUUGUUGUCUUUGAGUCCAAGAUGACAAAAAGAAAUGUAACCACAGUCGCUCUUGAGGAGGUCAACUUCCAUAGUUACACUUAUUUAAUAUCUUGCUUCUCACCUGUUCAUGGUUAUUGUCAUUUAAAAACUUUUACAACUGCGACAGGUUAAUGGCAGUGGAGGGUAUGAGCUUUUAAGCUGCCUCGCGGAUCUUGAUGGGCAGCAGUACCUUUUCCAAAUUCGGAUAACGCCCUAUAAUUUCACUCCCAGACACCGGACCUUCACAGUGUCUGCAAUCAGUGAUGAUAUUUGUUCCUAAAACUAAGUCAGAGGUAGGCUACGUGAGGUACGAAUACAUUGUAACCCGGUUAAACAAAAAUGACCCACGUGACCAACUUUGUUUCAAGGGGAAAGCAGCAGCAGCCAGCAUCCCUCCUCAGCUGGAUCUCCAAUCUAAGGAACCACACGCUUCUGCACGCAUUCUGGUGAUGAGACUCCAAACAUAGUGAAAGUUGAUCCCCACCAAUACCACUAAACUUUGGAGCCGAAUAGACGAGCCGCAACCGCCCACGUGUGUUAUCCUAGCAAGUUCAGCAAACCUUUGUUCCCACUUAGAUUUGCUUCCCUGUUCUACAAGCUCUGGAAUAAGCUACAGCUACUACUCUUUUCCUAUGUUUUAAGUUUUUUUUUUUUGAUUUUUUAGUUACCUUCAAUCAAGCUUCCAGUAGGAGUGUAGUAAUUUGGCAACAUUAAUAAAGGGAACCUUGACGGGUAUUUGUAAUUUUUCACAAUAAACGUCUGGUUUGGUUCAUGCUUAAAUACACAUUACAUCCACAUCGCAAAAGGAAUAAACUACAACGUUUGCUGGCCUAAGGCUCACUUCUGUCUUUUAAAUAACCUUGUUGGGUUAAAUCACACCGCUGAGUUCUAAAUAACUUUUAAAAGAAGAAAAAAUCUCAUGAGUAACUAGGCGAGCAAGAUAACCAGAGCAGGAAAAACUAAUAAAUCUAUAAGUGAGAAGAGGAGGACUUUGCCAACCCCGACGAGCUGAACAACAUUCGUCUUCCUUCUUUCAACACCUCCCGAGGGGCUAUUGGUAGCAAACCAAAUGUCAGCCUCUUCCUCUGCUUUUGAAAUGAUUGAAAUGGGAUUAUAUUGGACAUUUUCAAAGACCAUCGCAUUCCUCAACUUCUAGAUUUGUCAUAGAACUCAUGGGAAUACUCACACAAAAGAAGACUAAAACAAUCAUUUUAAGAGGAAACAAAUACACUAAUUAGUUUGUAUUGCGUGUGUUGCAAGAAAAACAAUGAUUUAAUGAUUUCCAUAUAAAUAACAAUCACAUUUUUAAAUAUAACAUGUUCAGCAAGUAUUCUAAUUAUUUAGAUCAGGCAUAUUUUACUUGAUUCACGACACCAAACACAAAAAAGUUACCCCACUUCAUCAUCCCACUCCAAUCCUAUUACAGUAUAAAUCGUACAAAAUUAAAGACUACAGCAAAACAGGGCAUCACCUCCACAUAUUUAGCUAGAGAAACAACUAUAUCCACGAUCUCGUGUUUGCGCGCGAAGGUUAUACCCCUAGUUCUUAUAAAAAUAGAAUUCAUAUAUUUAUAUCUCUUGUUAGCUUUCUCUUUUUUUUUUUUUGGUCACAAAGAUACUUCAUUAAUUAAAAGGUCCAAAAGAGGUCCAGCCCAUAGGGAUCCAUUACAUUAGGGAGUUUCUCAGAGCGGUCUUUGCCAGAGUAUCCGCUUCAUCGUUAUCCCUUCUACCAAUAUGAAAAAAACUGAUUGAAACAAAUACAGAAGAAAGAUCAUGAAUAUCCUUGACGAUUCCAAGCAAUUCCUUCCUCUGUGUCUUGUUGUUGAUUGCUCCAAUGAGCGUUAGAUUGUCGGAGCACAUCCAGAGAUUCGAGAUCCCUUGAUUUGCAGCCAUGAAGAGGCCCUCUCGAACCGCUAGCGCCUCGGCGAUCAAAGGGGAGUUUACAAAGUUCUGGACCACUGCUCCUUGUCGUUCCGCCGUCUCGGGAGUUCUGCUAAAUGUCCAAGCGAGGCCAGCUCUGUAUCGAGUCUCAUCCCACGCAGCAUCUGUUUUGCAAACAGAGAUUUGGGGAUCCAGUUGAGGAGUUGCGCUUUUUCCUUCAAAUACCAGAAGGUUUCGUGCCUUCCAAAUCGUCCAACAUACCCACGGAAAGAUAGCUUUUGAAACUCCAGUUGGUGGUAGACAGACUGCUGAUCUAAAUCGAGUUGUUGCCUUUUUGAAAGUGUCUGUGACAGCUAUGUGAACUGUUUCUCGCAGUGGGAUACAUUCCCAGACUUUCUUUGCAAACGGACAGAGAAAGAAGGUUUCUCCCCCAGGGGUAGGGCGUCCUGGAUGACUGACCAAAUAAAGACUUUCAUUUUUGGGGAACAAGAAGUCUUCCAUACAUCUCUGAUCCAAUCAAAUUCCCCAGCAGGUAGAGGUUGCCAGAUAUAGCUAUCUUCCGACCCUCUCAAGCUUGGUUUCAGACACUGGAUUUGCUCAGCAAACUCAGGUGGGAAUGGCAGAGAGCACCGCCUUGAGCAUUGUUAAUUUCCCAGCCUUUGAUAAACACCUUGUGGACCAACUCACAGCUCGUUGCCGUAUUCUAUCUACAAUGGAUGUAAAUAGAUCACGCUUCCGACGGCCAAAGUGUUUCGGAGCUCCAAGAGGCAGCUUCAUACUGCGAGAGUACUUUUAAUAGGCUUCUACUGGAUUCGGAGGAUGCAGGGCAGAAGAACAUAGUGUCGUCUGCAAACAGCAGAUGGUUCACUCUCGGACAUCCUCUUGCCACUCUAACGCCUUGUAAGGACUCCCGUGGAGAAGAAUUGUUGAAUUUCUUGGAUGAUAGCAGGGCCAGUUAUCUCCCAGUUUGACUGGAAGAAAGCAGCAGAGAAGCCAUCCGGACCCGGAGCUUUGUCUGGGUGGAUGGCGAAGGGAGCAAGCGCAUCCUGAACUAUAUGAAGACCGCCUGAGGGGAUAGAUGUAAAGAGUCUAGAGUAGUAGCUACAUAUGACCUCUGAGAUACCCUCUUCCUCAUAAACAGGCAAGCCAUCCUCGUCUUCCAUGACCGUCAGUCUGUUUUUGGACUUUCUGACUCUUGCUGAAGCAUGAAAAUACCCCGUGUUUGCAUCUCCUAGUGACAGCCACAAUUGGCGACUUCUCUGUUUCGAGAAACUCUCCUCCUCCAUGUAAGUUUUUAACAGUUUAGCAUUCAACUCUUUAAACGGAAAUAAAUCCAACUCCUUAUUAAUUUCUUUGGUCCAAUUCUGCUUUUCUUGGUUCCUGGUCUAACGCUUUCUCCAUCCUAGAAAAAUCACAAUCAUGUCAUUAUAUGGUUAUUGAAUUGAUUUUAUCAACUUUAGAUUUAUAUGUGAUAGAAAAAACACAAUCAAGUCAUUGUAUAUAUAAUUAUUGAAUUGAUUUUAUCAACUGUAGAUUAAUUUCUAUAUAUAUAUAUGCAAUAAUUUGAUUUCGAGAACUUCGUGACAAAAAGAAAAAACGAUUUCGAGAACUAACAGCACACGUGCAGUGACUUUUCUUCGAAACCAAUGGUGUAGCAAGGGUGGAUCUACAGUACGGGGAACGGGGUAAGUUGUUGACCCGGUAACGUCCUGCUCUUAAUUCCAGUGUUCGAAGCCACACGCUUUAUUAUUUUGUAUGACACGUCUUACUCUUGUUUCUUCCCCUCUUGCUGUACAAUUUAGGGGGUUUACAAAAUAUCAAUUUGUGUAGAUUUUGUGAAUUUUAAAUGUUGAUAGAUCUUAAAAGUUUUGUGGAUUAAGAAUAUAUAUAUACACUAACUUACAAAAUUUAAUUGUAACUUUUCUAGAUUGAUAUUUCAUUAAUUUAUAUUAUUUAUUUUCUAUCAUUUAUUUUGUAAAUUAAAUAUAUGAUUGAGAAAUUUCCUAGGAUGAUUCUAAAAAUAAUUUCAAUUUUUUUUCGAAUUUCAAAAUAAAAUUUUGAAAAAAAAAAUCCAAUUUGUUUUCAAAAAAUUAUAUAGAAAAAAGAUUUUGAGAAAAAAAUAUCGAAAAGUUCGAACUCAAAAACGUAUAAUUCAAAAAUUAUAUAAUUUUUUUAAUGAUUAAACAAUAAAAUAUAAUUAUAAAUUCAAAAAUGUAAUUGUAUAAAAUGUAAUGAAUUAUAAUUUUGGACAUUUAAUUUGGGUUGAAGGUGCAAAAGAUAUUUGUUUUCUAGGCUUUUCUAUCAGAUAGAUUUUAUAAAUCUCUUGGAUACACAAGAUAUUUUGAAAGUUAUGUCUUAAGAGUAAACAUAAAAAAAUUCAUCUCCUAAUAACAAUAGAUUUAGUUAGAAUUAAAGAAUCCAUAAUAACUACACUUUUUGAAUAACAAAUUUUUUUAAUGAAUUAAAAAAAAAU